rnacentral:rRNA from 1 species
GAGGGACGAAGGCCUUCGGGUUGUAAACCUCUUUCGGCAGGGACGAAGCGAAAGUGACGGUACCUGAAGAAGAAGCGCCGGCCAACUACGUGCCAGCAGCCGCGGUAAUACGUAGGGAGCAAGCGUUGUCCGGAAUCAUUGGGCGUAAAGCGCGCGUAGGUGGCCACAUAAGUCCGUUGUGAAAGUCAAAGGCUCAACCUUUGAAAGCCGAUGGAUACUGUGUGGCUAGAGUACGGAAGAGGCGAGUGGAAUUCCUGGUGUAGCGGUGGAAUGCGCAGAUAUCAGGAGGAACACCAAUAGCGAAGGCAGCUCGCUGGGACGUUACUGACACUGAGGCGCGAAAGCGUGGGGAGCGAACAGGAUUAGAUACCCUGGUAGUCCACGCCGUAAACGAUGGGUACUAGGUGUGGGAGGUGUCGACUCCUCCCGUGCCGUCGCUAACGCACUAAGUACCCCGCCUGGGGAGUACGGCCGCAAGGCUA